GAAAGGCGCUUUCGGGUGUCGCUGAUGGAUGGACCCGCGGCUGCAUUAGCUAGUUGGUGAGGUAACGGCGUCACCAAGGCCACGAUGCAUAGCCGACCUGAGACGGGGACCGGCUCUACUGGGACUGAGACACGGCCCAGACUCCUACGGGAGGCAGCAGUAGGGAAUCUUCGGCAAUGGACGAAAGUCUGACCGAGCAACGCCGCGUGAGUGAAGAAGGUUUUCGGAUCGUAAAACUCUGUUGUUAGAGAAGAACAAGGACGUUAGUAACUGAACGUCCCCUGACGGGUAUCUAACCAGAAAGCCACGGCUAACUACGUGCCAUCAGCCGCGGUAAUACGUAAGGUGGCAAGCGUUGUCCGGAUUUAUUGGGCGGUAAAGCGAGCGCAGGCGGGUUUCUUAAGUCUGAUGUGAAAAGCCCCCCGGGUCAACCGGGG
rnacentral:rRNA from 1 species